rnacentral:rRNA from 1 species
GACGAACGCUGGCGGCGUGCUUAACACAUGCAAGUCGAGCGGUAAGGCCCUUCGGGGUACACGAGCGGCGAACGGGUGAGUAACACGUGGGUGACCUGCCUCUAGCUCUGGGAUAAGCCUGGGAAACUGGGUCUAAUACCGGAUAUGACUUCACGGCGCAUGUUGUGGGGUGGAAAGCCUUGUGUGGCUAGAGAUGGGCCCGCGGCCUAUCAGCUUGUUGGUGGGGUGAUGGCCUACCAAGGCGACGACGGGUAGCCGGCCUGAGAGGGCGACCGGCCACACUGGGACUGGGACACGGCCCAGACUCCUACGGGAGGCAGCAGUGGGGAAUCUUGCGCAAUGGGCGAAAGCCUGACGCAGCGACGCCGCGUGAGGGAUGACGGCCUCGGUUGUAA